rnacentral:rRNA from 1 species
GACGAACGCUGGCGGCGUGCUUAACACAUGCAAGUCGAACGGAAAGGCCCUGCUUUUGUUGGGUGCUCGAGUGGCGAACGGGUGAGUAACACGUGAGUAACCUGCCCUUGACUUUGGGAUAACUUCAGGAAACUGGGGCUAAUACCGGAUAGGAGCUCCUGCUGCAUGGUGGGGGUUGGAAAGUUUCGGCGGUUGGGGAUGGACUCGCGGCUUAUCAGCUUGUUGGUGGGGUAGUGGCUUACCAAGGCUUUGACGGGUAGCCGGCCUGAGAGGGUGACCGGCCACAUUGGGACUGAGAUACGGCCCAGACUCCUACGGGAGGCAGCAGUGGGGAAUAUUGCACAAUGAGCGGAAGCCUGAUGCAGCAACGCCGCGUGCGGGAUAACGGCCUUCGGGUUGUAAACCGCUUUCGCCUGUGACGAAGCGUGAGUGACGGUAAUGGGUAAAGAAGCACCGGCUAACUACGUG